GAUUGAGAUGGGAUGGGAUGGUGUGAUGUAAUUGUGUGGGGACAAAUUGGGUGUUGGCAGGCUUUAUCCUGCCUUUGCUUCUCUCUCUUCGCCAUUCCCCAUGAACACACGUGGCAUCAUCCUAUUCGCACUCCACCUUUAACCAUAUAUACACUUGUUCCUAUAUUUUCAGUAUUUUUCUUUUUGGGUUAACAUCAAAUCAUUACAGAUUUUUUAACUGAAAAUCAAUUCACAAUUAUUUUAUUAA
rnacentral:lncRNA from 1 species